rnacentral:rRNA from 1 species
CCUACGGGGGGCUGCAGUGAGGAAUAGUGGUCAAUGGACACAAGUCUGAACCAGCCAUGCCGCGUGCAGGAAGACGGCUCUAUGAGUUGUAAACUGCUUUUGUACGAGGGUAAACGCAGAUACGUGUAUCUGUCUGAAAGGAUCGUACGAAUAAGGAUCGGCUCACGCCGUGCCAGCAGCCGCGGUAAUACGGAGGCUUCAAGCGUUCUCCGGAUUGAUUGGGUUUAAAGGGUGCGUAGGCGGUCGGAGAAGUUAGAGGUGAAAUCCCGUGGCUCCACGUCGGAAUUGCCUCUGAUACUGUUCGGCUCGAGCGUAGUUGCGGUAGGCGGACUGUCUGGUGUAGC